AGGGAAUUGUCAACAAAGGGACGAGAGAUGGGCAACUCCUCUCCGCACUGUGCGCCAGCAUCCCCGGGGCUCCGAGGGCGCUCCGGCCGGCCCGGAGACCCCCCGCCCAGGCUGGAGCCGGGACCUGGGGCCCAGGGAGCGGCUUUAAAGAGUAAGAGCAGCGCACCCGGCUCCCUCCUGCUAAUUAGAGUUCAGAUUCCCCUCUGGCCUCAGUGCUCAUUCCGGGGAAGACACCUGCUGAGAUGUCUUUUUCCCCCUCCCCCAACCAAACCACUCAGGUCCUGCCUGCUCUUUCCCGGCUUGAUGCGGGCGUGUUUUCCUGUAUAUAUUUUUUCGUGCGGCCACAAACAGCAUCAGCUGGGGUUCCCGAAGGUCAGAAAAUGGCUAUUGAUUAAUCUAUUAGAAUAGUUGCCGAGAGAAAUAAAAACGACGUACAAUAACAGGGAACCUAUAAAUAAAGAAGCCAUAACUGGCUACUUGGAGUUGUUAAACGACUUAGCAUAUGAAAAAAUCGGAAAUGAGGCGCUGGGGAAGGAGCUGGGAUUGGCAGCGGCCUGGGUGUGGACAAAUCCUACAAGAUUUAACUUCCAAGGAAGCCGGCGGCCGAGCGGGUGGACGAGGCGAGGAUGUGUGGCCAGUGCACGCGGAGUGCAAGGCCGCCCAGUUGGGAGACACAAGAGCCUGCCUGGUGUGGCAGGCACACGGAACUCAAUCCCUGUCUGUCCGCUGCGGCCUGGGAGGGGAGCGCCGGAGGAAGGAGCACGAGGGGAGGAGUUCCGAGAGGAAAUAAUUAGUGAAAUAUUUGAAGAAGAUGCUGGGAUGUGGAUUUAAUUCCGGAUGGACAGUGGUGCUUCUGAUUCCCUCAGUCUGUUUCCCCACCCACGAUCUCCUCUUUCCUUGGCCUAGACACACCAAAAAUAAUUCAAUAAAAUAAAAAUAAAAAUUUAAAAAUC